GGCCAUAGGUCAGUGGUAGAGCAUCUGCUUUGCAUUCAGAAAGUCCCAGGUUCAAUCCCCAGCAUCUCCA
rnacentral:tRNA from 1 species